rnacentral:rRNA from 1 species
GACGAACGCUGGCGGCGUGCUUAACACAUGCAAGUCGAACGGAAAGGCCCUGCUUUUGUGGGGUGCUCGAGUGGCGAACGGGUGAGUAACACGUGAGUAACCUGCCCUUGACUUUGGGAUAACUUCAGGAAACUGGGGCUAAUACCGGAUAGGAGCUCCUGCUGCAUGGUGGGGGUUGGAAAGUUUCGGCGGUUGGGGAUGGACUCGCGGCUUAUCAGCUUGUUGGUGGGGUAGUGGCUUACCAAAGCUUUGACGGGUAGCCGGCCUGAGAGGGUGACCGGCCACAUUGGGACUGAGAUACGGCCCAGACUCCUACGGGAGGCAGCAGUGGGGAAUAUUGCACAAUGGGCGGAAGCCUGAUGCAGCAACGCCGCGUGCGGGAUGACGGUCUUCGGGUUGUAAACCGCUUUCGCCUGUGACGAAGCGUGAGUGACGGUAAUGGGUAAAGAAGCACCGGCUAACUACGUG